UUGUCUCAAAGAUUAAGCCAUGCAUGUCUCAGUACAAGCCGAAUUAAGGUGAAACCGCGAAAGGCUCAUUAAAUCAGUUAUGGUUCCUUAGAUCGUACCCACAUUUACUUGGAUAACUGUGGUAAUUCUAGAGCUAAUACAUGCAAACAGAGCUCCGACCGGCAACGGGAGGAGCGCUUUUAUUAGAUCAAAACCAAUCGGUGGCGGGUCUCCCGUCACCGUACACCUUGGUGACACUGAAUAACUUUGCUGAUCGCACGGUCUCGAACCGGCGACGCAUCUUUCAAAUGUCUGCCUUAUCAACUGUCGAUGGUAGGUUCUGCGCCUACCAUGGUUGUAACGGGUAACGGGGAAUCAGGGUUCGAUUCCGGAGAGGGAGCCUGAGAAACGGCUACCACAUCCAAGGAAGGCAGCAGGCGCGCAAAUUACCCACUCCCGGCACGGGGAGGUAGUGACGAAAAAUAACGAUACGGGACUCAUCCGAGGCCCCGUAAUCGGAAUGAGUACACUCUAAACCCUUUAACGAGGAUCAAUUGGAGGGCAAGUCUGGUGCCAGCAGCCGCGGUAAUUCCAGCUCCAAUAGCGUAUAUUAAAGUUGUUGCGGUUAAAAAGCUCGUAGUCGAAUUUGUGUCCCGCGCCGCCGGUUCAUCGCUCGCGGUGUCAACUGGCGUGUCCGCGGGACGUCCUGCCGGUGGGCUUAGCCUUUCGGCGAGGCCCAAUCUCAAUCCCACCGCGGUGCUCUUCACUGAGUGUCGAGGUGGGCCGGCACGUUUACUUUGAACAAAUUAGAGGUGCUUAAAGCAGGCUAAAAUAUCGCCUGAAUACUGGUGCAUGGAAUAAUGGAAUAGGACCUCGGUUCUAUUUUGUUGGUUUUCGGAACCCCGAGGUAAUGAUUAAUAGGAACGGAUGGGGGCAUUCGUAUUGCGACGUUAGAGGUGAAAUUCUUGGAUCGUCGCAAGACGGACAGAAGCGAAAGCAUUUGCCAAAAACGCUUUCAUUGAUCAAGAACGAAAGUUAGAGGUUCGAAGGCGAUCAGAUACCGCCCUAGUUCUAACCAUAAACGAUGCCAGCUAGCGAUCCGCCGACGUUCCUCCGAUGACUCGGCGGGCAGCUUCCGGGAAACCAAAGCUUUUGGGUUCCGGGGGAAGUAUGGUUGCAAAGCUGAAACUUAAAGGAAUUGACGGAAGGGCACCACCAGGAGUGGAGCCUGCGGCUUAAUUUGACUCAACACGGGAAACCUCACCAGGCCCGGACACCGGAAGGAUUGACAGAUUGAGAGCUCUUUCUUGAUUCGGUGGGUGGUGGUGCAUGGCCGUUCUUAGUUGGUGGAGCGAUUUGUCUGGUUAAUUCCGAUAAC
rnacentral:rRNA from 1 species